rnacentral:tRNA from 1 species
ACUAUUUUGGCAGAUUAGUGUGAUAAAUUUAGAAUUUAUUUAAGUAUAUAAUUGAAAUAUACAUAUAGUA